AUUGAACGCUGGCGGCAGGCCUAACACAUGCAAGUCGAACGAGUGGCGGACGGGUGAGUAAUGUCUGGGAAACUGCCCGAUGGAGGGGGAUAACUACUGGAAACGGUAGCUAAUACCGCAUACCAUCGGAUGUGCCCAGAUGGGAUUAGCUAGUAGGUGGGGUAACGGCUCACCUAGGCGACGAUCCCUAGCUGGUCUGAGAGGAUGACCAGCCACACUGGAACGGAGACACGGUCCAGACUCAUACGGGAGGCAGCGGUGGGGAAUAUUGCACAGUGGGCGCAAGCCUGAUGCGGCCAUGCCGCGUGUAGGAAGAAGGCCUGCGUGUUGGAAAGGACUUUCAGCGAGGAGGCGUUACUCGCAGAAGAAGCACCGGCUAACUCCGUGCCAGCAGCCGCGGUAAUAC
rnacentral:rRNA from 1 species